rnacentral:rRNA from 1 species
CCUACGGGCGGCAGCAGUGGGGAAUAUUGCACAAUGGGCGCAAGCCUGAUGCAGCCAUGCCGCGUGUGUGAAGAAGGCCUUCGGGUUGUAAAGCACUUUCAGCGGGGAGGAAGGCGGUGAGGUUAAUAACCUCAUUGAUUGACGUUACCCGCAGAAGAAGCACCGGCUAACUCCGUGCCAGCAGCCGCGGUAAUACGGAGGGUGCAAGCGUUAAUCGGAAUUACUGGGCGUAAAGCGCACGCAGGCGGUCUGUCAAGUCGGAUGUGAAAUCCCCGGGCUCAACCUGGGAACUGCAUUCGAAACUGGCAGGCUAGAGUCUUGUAGAGGGGGGUAGAAUUCCAGGUGUAGCGGUGAAAUGCGUAGAGAUCUGGAGGAAUACCGGUGGCGAAGGCGGCCCCCUGGACAAAGACUGACGCUCAGGUGCGAAAGCGUGGGGAGCAAACAGGAUUAGAUACCCGGGUAGUC